AGCAGUGCAAUGCAAUGCAAUGCAAUGCAAUGCAAUGAAAUGAAAUAAAAUAACAAUAAUAAAGCAACCACCCCAAAACACAACAUCUAACCAGCAGUACCGAGUUUCAGAAACAUUUAGCAGGUACGCAAUCUCCAGCAUUCGGUUUUAAGGUUUUAAUAAGAUGCCUGGGGAAACUCCCAUAUUGAAAGGACGGGUGUGCUUGUGGGAAAUUUUGAAAAGAACCCCUAAGAGGUACCCAGACCCAGUUUUGUGGGUGUGCCUUGAAAUGUUUUUCACCCCUAAAAGGCACCAAUUCUAAAACAACACGUAAACUGACACUGACUUUUGUCAGCUCGAUAUCCUAAAAAGUACCGUGAAAACUCCCACUGUAGACCUCACAAGUACCAAACUCGCAUGUUUAACUCUCAAAAAGUACGAUGAGCACCCCCGUCCUUUUUACAUGGUACUCCCCCCGGGUGAGAUGACUAAGGCUACCUCGGAAAGGACAGAUUGGAGCUUAACUGCAUGAUUAAAUGGGAAGUUAUUCAAGUAGAAAUAUGUUUCCCUAAUGAACUUUAAGGUUUGACUAACUUUACUUCCGUUUUGAAAAGAAGAGGAAUUUGAAGAAAAUGACGACACUUAUGAUGACGUGGCAUCGGUACUUCAAAGGGGGAAUCAAGAUGACCAAUCAGACGAUAUUUAUGAAAGCAUGUGACAAGGAGGAAAUGAAUGGUGACAUUUUAGGGAAUGCCAUGUUAGAGACGUCCCUCUCUUUACAAGAAUGCAGAAGAACUAAACAAAAGAAGUUCAUGUGGUUUAAUUCAAGACUGCAAGAUUUGUAUCCGAAGUUGUGAUAAACAAAGCUGCCUCACGCUUUUUCUUAGAAAAAUUGAGUCACCGUUUUCAGAGCCCCGCCCCAUGCCUACGAAGGCAUUUUGUGACAUCAUACUAAAUGGUUACUUUGUUCCCAUGCACACGUGUAAUUAAUUUUUCGGCAUUGAUUUUUGCAUGACAGAACAAAACACACACUAUUCUUGAUAGUAUGUAAAUAGAUUCUGAAAAGUCUAGUUUGUGAGGGAUUGAUAAAAGUAUUGUAUUGUACACCCGAAUGAAGGAUAUAUGGGAAUUCCCAUAUAUCUCAUUAUCUUUGAUAAAUUUUAAUUCCCAUAAAUCUUGACAAAGUUUUCGCACAUGUAUCAGCAAAUUUUUGAUGUAACAAAUUUCGUUUCUCAAAUAGAAAAUAGAAAGGCCAGUUUUUCAGCAAAGAUGUUUGGGGUGUAAAAGAGAGUCUUAUUAUAUAAACACCAAUGAAAUACCAAGUCAGCUUUAGCGCGAAAGCAUUAUAUCUUCACACGUGAAAAUAACAUACUAUUUUCACGUCUGAGAAGAUCACCGUCGCUAUGGUUACAUUAUAAAUCCCUUAAAUCUGUACUUAAAUGUAUUGAUGUAUGAUCGAAACAUCAUCGGAUCUUCCUCGGAAAUCUUCGGUUUUCUUCGGUAAUCUUCGGACGUUUUCGGUAAGUUGAAAACUCGAAGAAAUUCCAUAUCAACCCGACCAAAAGACAAUUUUGCGAAGAACAUUUUGUCGUAAGAGUGGGGCUUAUUUUAAUUAAGUUAAUUUUUGUAGGUAAAGAGACAUCCAGAAGGUACGCUGCAAAAUAAACCGUGCAGUUGUAGUCCCCGGCCAUAAGAGUCACUAAAUUUCUCUAACCCUCUUCAGGUCGACUUUUAGCACCGCUAGGCUGAUUUCGGAAACUUUAAAUAAAUAAAUAUUCUAACGAAAUGCUGUACACCAAACAACUAAGACCACGUUUCAAUGUACAAACAGAUUCGAUCCGCGCUAAAGUAUUUAUUCAACCGAAACGUAGGAACAUUAUAUCGUUAGCUUUUAAUUGCCUGUGUAUUUCUAAAGCAUUAUUAAUAUAAAUAUUGUAAAGUGAAAAUAAACUGUCCUGAGCAAGGCUA